rfam:Oryctolagus cuniculus chromosome 4, whole genome shotgun sequence.
GGUGUUCCCAGGCUGGAAGUAUCAAUCCCAGGGGAAGUCAACUGAAGAACAUUUUAUGCAUCACUCAUCCUAUUAUGAGCCUUGUGCUACUCUCUCUCUACAAGG